UGGCUAUAGUAUGGGCAUAAAAAUUCUGUUCUUUGGGGACAAAUAUGAACUCGAUCUCCUGGAACCCCUUUUUUAGGCUUUGGAUGUCUGUGAUAAUUUCUCCAAUGACUGAUUUAUCCGUGAAUAAGCUUUGGCAUUUCUUGAUAAAAGUUUUGGAGUCUCCGAAAACUGAUAAUUUGUUGACUCCCAGUCUAAUCCCUAAUUUUAUUGCUUGUAAUCCCGCAUAUGCCUCUGCUGUGAAUGGAUCUGCAAUAUUUGAGUGGGUGACUGCCUGUGAUGCAAGGAUCUCUCUGUUUUCAUUCCGUGCUAUUAUACCAGAGGCUGAUCUGAAUCCCAAGCGGUCAUAGGCUACGUCAAAAUGAAUGGAGGUCCAUCCCCUUUUGUAUAACUGUUGGAGAUUUCCAGAUGAAUGAAGAGCAGGAGUUCUUACUUUUGAUAUUGCAAGUUCUGUAGUAUAGGCACUGAUUUUCUUCGCUAUUUCUGAUCCUGACGUGAGUCUUUUUUUCGUAAAUGAGAUGAUUUCUGCUAAACCAAAUGAACCAAAGGCAACAGCAGAAGAGAUGAAGCUGUUCUUCGGUACCUCGAUCAAAAACCCAGGACAUUCGAUGAAAAUAUGCCAGCUAUUUUCCUCAAAGCAACCGCAUCGGGGGCAAAGGGUGUUAAGGACUACCUUCCUUAUUUUGAGGUUGACAAAGGAAGGGAUAUAAUCCCAAGAAAUCCUCCAAAUAGUCAUCUUAAUUUUUGUAGGGAUAUGUAACUUCCAUAAUUUGUUGUAGAAAGUUUUUGUCUCGGUCUGUAAUGAUAAAUCGUAGGAUCCAGAUUAGUACCAUGUAAUAGUUUAUAGGCACUCCUCACCGAGAACUCCCCUGUCGGUUCUCCUCUCCAUACUUGAAGGUCUUCUUGAUCUGUCUCCGCAAGAGGGAUUUUUAAUAUUUGUUCAGCAACAACUGGUUGAAAGCUGGAAUCCCCGGUAUCCAUGAAUCUCCCCAUAUGGAAAUUUGAUCACCUCUCCCCACCCUCUAGCAGCGUCCCUUAUCGAGAAGUCCUCUCGCAGCCCAUAUGCUUUUCCAGGUAAAAGAAGGUACAUUUCCCAACUGAGCUUUAAAGAAAUCUGAAUUGGGAAAAUACUUUGCUUUUAAAACACGAGCCAAUAAUGAAUUCCGAUAAUUAAUAAGACGCCAUCCCUGCUUUGCUAAUAAUGCAACGUUAAACUUAGCAAAA